rnacentral:rRNA from 1 species
UGGGGAAUAUUGGACAAUGGGGGGAACCCUGAUCCAGCAAUGCCGCGUGUGUGAAGAAGGCCUGAGGGUUGUAAAGCACUUUCGGUGGGGAGGAGGAUAUAUAGGUUAAGAGCUAAUAUAUAGGACGUUACCCACAUAAGAAGCACCGGCUAACUCCGUGCCAGCAGCCGCGGUAAUACGGAGGGUGCGAGCGUUAAUCGGAAUUACUGGGCGUAAAGGGUGCGUAGGUUGUUGAUUAAGUUAUCUGUAAAAUCCCUGGGCUCAACCUGGGCAGGUCAGAUAAGACUGAUUGACUCGAGUAUAGGAGAGGGUAGUGGAAUUUCCGGUGUAGCGGUGAAAUGCGUAGAGAUCGGAAGGAACACCAGUGGCGAAGGCGGCUACCUGGCCUAAUACUGACACUGAGGCACGAAAGCGUGGGGAGCAAACA